AGUCCUGUAGCUCAGUGGUCAGAGCACUUGCCUGGCAUGCAAGAAACCUGGGUUCGAUUCCCUGCAGGGCCA